rnacentral:misc_RNA from 1 species
UUCCGUCAAUUCCUUUAAGUUUCAACCUUGCGAUUGUACUUCCCAGGUGGAAUACUUAAUGCGUUAGCUUGGAUACUGAUUCUAAAAAGAACCAACAUCUAGUAUUCAUCGUUUAGGGUGUGGACUACCAGGGUAUCUAAUCCUGUUUGCUCCCCACACUUUCGUGCUUUAGCGUCAGUUUUGAGCCAGGCAACUGCCUUCGCCAUUGGUGUUCUAUCUGAUAUCUACGCAUUUCACUGCUACACCAGAUAUUCCAUUGCCCUCUCUCAAACUCUAGACUUGCAGUAUCAAAGGCAGCACCAAAGUUAAGCUUUGGGAUUUCACCUCUGACUUACAAAUCCACCUGAGCACCCUUUACACCCAGUAAAUCCGGACAACUCUAGCACCCUACGUAUUACCG